ACCUGCGACAGGACGGAAAGACCCCAUGGAGCUUUACUGUAGCUUGACAUUGGGUCUUGGUACUACAUGUACAGGAUAGGUGGGAGGCUUUGAAACCAGGACGCCAGUUUUGGCGGAGCCAUCCUUGUGAUACCACCCUUGUAGUACUGGGACUCUAACCAUAGGCCAUGAAUCUGGUCUUGGGACACUGUCAGGUGGGCAGUUUGACUGGGGCGGUCGCCUCCCAAAAGGUAACGGAGGCACUCAAAGGUUC
rnacentral:rRNA from 1 species